UGCCAGGAAGAAGGAAGAUAUUUUUAAUUUUAAAUAUUUAUAACUCUUAUGAAAGUUAUCUCGAUGCACAAUGAAAAGAUGAUCGAGAUUGAUUGAUUUUUGAAGAUCGUUGCUUUGCAAAAUCAGGAUGUCCAGACCCUCUACUUUGCUCGCACACCAACCAAUGUAGGAGAGAGAAAUGAAGAACUCUUCAGGAGGAAAGGAGAAGACAGCCUUGAUAUCUGAUCUCAAAGCCCAAAUGAGUCCAC
rnacentral:lncRNA from 1 species